GUCUAACCCUGGCCUGGAGCACUGGAGGAUGAGGUCCGCUGACUGCAGCGUCCAUCCUGGUCCUCCCCAGGCACUGUGGCCUCCCUCACAGCAUGGCUGCCUUGGGUACUCGGACUUCACGUGGAAGGCCAGGGCUCCGAGAGCAAAUGCCCCAGCAAGACAGAAGCUCAGCCGCCUUUGAUGACCUAGAAGCUAGGCAGCAUCCAUUGUACUGCCUUCUAUGGGUUGUGAGUGAGUCCCAAACCUGCCUUGACUCAAGGAAACGGAAUUAGGCUCUACGUCUUGACUAGGUAGUGGCGAAGUUCUGGAAGCACAUGAGUAGGAGAUACUGUGACGGUUUCAUCUUUGGAAAAUACCAUCUAGCACACCUGAAUCUGCUUUCAGGGGGUGUAAGGGGAUUUCCAUGGCAAAAUUUGAAGCCACAUGUGGUCACUGCUUUGUACUGAGGAAACAAAGUGCUCUGGGCAUCCAGAAAGGGGGUACGUUUUUUCUUACUGGGAUAAAUCUGGCUGCAUUUUAGCUAAUCCUGGAAAAUUGAUCGACAAAAGCAAAGGACCAAGAAAGCUGCUUAUAUCAGUGUCUCCUCCACCCUCAGCCUCCAGUAGCAUCCCUACGUUUUACAAUUUUAUUUAUGUCACUUUAAAUAAGGACAUUGAGAGGGAAAAGGCCUCAUCGACAUACCAACUACAGGCCAGGUGGACCUUCGGUGCACACACACCCCAGCGCCCACAGAGAUCCAGGCCUCCUGUGUAUGAAUGUGUGCCAUGAAUUUAGACCUAUUUCUCGCCUUCCGGGCUCUCUAUUCCUCAUCCUCCAUCCAAGUGGCCAUCUUGUGCAGGCCCUGAAAGCAGCAGAUCUCACCUGCAUUGGAGGAUGAGACGCCACAUGAAGAAGAAAGAAGACGCCACAGACAGCAGCGCAGUACCACCUUCCAGAGAUGUGAGUGUGACCGUCUUUGACCUUCUAGCCCAGCUGCUUUCCCUGAAUGCAAUGCAUGAGCAGGCCAGGCAAAACUAGAGAGGGAAGCUGCCCAGCUAACCCACAGAAUUAUGAGAGAUAAAAAAUCAUUGUCUUAAGCCACUAAGUCUGUUAUGCAGCAAUAUAUAGCAUUCAUUCAACUUUUGUCUCAUGAAUACUCUCAUUUCUUUUAUAAGUUCUUUUGUGGUUCAAAUUAGCUCAAAUCAGUUUCUGAUGCUUAUGACCAAAUGCCCCUAUGUGAUAGAUUUUGAGGGGUUAAGAAGCUUGCUCGGAUCACACAGCGGUAAGUAGCAGCACUUCAUCUUUAACCCACCUCUGGCCCACUCCCUUUCCAUAGGUCCUUGUUGCCUCCCUCCCUAAUCCCUUCCAGUCUAGUUUCCUCACUCAUUUUAGCAUCUUGAAGAUGCCUGACCUUUUGUAACAGGCACUUAGAAGAGGCAAUAAUCAAGCUGUGAGCUGGAAUACUGGGUUUCUCAUCCAAUAACCAGGUUGGCAGGUUGGUAACCAUACAAGGGACUUUUCAAACUGGAGAAUUAGUGUGCUGAGCACAAAGUGGUGAGUAUUUUGAGAGUUACUGAAAUAUAAUUGACAUAACAAUAAAAAUACAAUAUUUAAGUGCAUGUAUUUCAAGUGUACGAUUUGACAAGUUUGGUUAUAUUAUAUACACCUACGAAACCAUCACCACAAUUAAGAAAAUGAGCAUAGCUAUCACACACAAAAGUUUCCUUGUGCCCCUUGGUAAUUCCUCCCUCUCUCCUGCCCACAUCUCUCCUUUUCCCAGGCAAUCCCUGAUCUGAUUUCUGCCGCUAUCAAUUCGUUUGCAUUUCCUAGAAUUUUAAAUAACUGAAAACAUACAUUAAGAACUCUUUUUCUCUGGCCGAGUAUGGUGGCUCACGCCUGUAAUCCCAGCACUUUGGGUGGCCAAGGCGGGCAGAUCACCUGAGGUCAGGAGUUCGAGACCACCCUGGCCAACGUGGUGAAACCCUGUCUCUACUAAACAUACAAAAAUUAGCCAGGCAUGGUAAUGGGCAUCUGUAAUCCCAGCUACUCGCGAGGCUGAGGCAGGAGAAUUGCUUGAACCUGGGAGACAGAGGUUGCAGUGGGCUGAGAUCACGCCACUGCACUCCAGCAUGGACAACAGAGCGAGACUCCGUCCCC
rnacentral:lncRNA from 1 species